rnacentral:rRNA from 1 species
UACGGAGGAUGCAAGCGUUAUCCGGAAUGAUUGGGCGUAAAGCGUCCGCAGGUGGCAAUGUAAGUCUGCUGUCAAAGCGUCUGGCUCAACCAGAUAAAGGCAGUGGAAACUACAUAGCUAGAGUAAGGUAGGGGUAGAGGGAAUUCCUGGUGUAGCGGUGAAGUGCGUAGAGAUCAGGAAGAACACCGGUGGCUAAAGCGCUCUGCUGGACCUUAACUGACACUGAGGGACGAAAGCUAGGGGAGCGAAUGGG